rnacentral:rRNA from 1 species
UACGGAGGGUGCGAGCGUUGUCCGGAAUCAUUGGGCGUAAAGGGCGCGUAGGUGGCCCCUCAAGCGUGCGGUGAAAGUCAGGGGCUCAACCCCUGAUCGGCCGUGCGAACUGGGGAGCUUGAGCACUGUAGAGGCAGGCGGAAUUCCGGGUGUAGCGGUGGAAUGCGCAGAUAUCAGGAGGAACACCAAUUGCGAAGGCAGCUCGCUGGGACGUUACCGAGCUGAGACGCGAAAGCGUGGGGAGCAAACAGG